UCAGCUGCUUGUUCCUUAGAUUUGGGUUUCAAAGACUCGUCGUUUCUAAACCUGUGAAAUCAUGCGUUUGCCUGGGUUUUGGCUCUCACACAGGUGAUAAGGAAAGACACUGCUAGUUUGCCCUGUGCGUACGUCUGGUCCCGCUGCAGAAAUCACGGUACUUGCAUUAUCUGGUGUUGCAUACUCUGCCAACACCCGAGCAGAUCAAUAAAUGAAAUCGUCACCAGUUGGUUGUUUCUCUCUAGCUAACUAUAACCGAAGUAUCUGUAUGGCAUCUUCCCAACCGACGCAAGAUAUGAGAUAAGGACGUGAGGAUGCCCUUUACCUAUUCUGUAUUGACACGGGUUUCGAUUGCAAUUACCUUAGGCAAGGCUACGGCGUAAGGCCCCAAACAACGCUAAGAAAUCUCACUUUCACUCUCCCAUACUAGUAACCCUCCUUUCCAUCUCUGUUCGAGAUGCUGAUUGUUGAAUACGGGAACGUCUGGAACUCCCUACCGUUGCCUUGAUGGAAAUCAUCAUCGUUCUCUUCGCGAAUCAUGACUUCUGUAUCAACUGGCAUAAUUCGCCGUGGAAGAAGUGAGGAAAAAAACCAACGCUUAGCCAAGACGCUCAUGCAUGGAAUUACUGCACGUCUCUCCAUUCAUCGAACACCCACUAAUAAAUAAGUGGAGGUGAUUGGCCAUGGGACAGUUCUGACUAUUCAAGCCCUCACAGCCGACGGCGCAGGGGC
rnacentral:sRNA from 1 species